rnacentral:rRNA from 1 species
CAGCAGCCGCGGUAAUACGGAGGGUGCGAGCGUUAUCCGGAAUUAUUGGGUUUAAAGGGUGCGUAGUCAGAGUACUAAGUCAGGGGUGAAAUCUUGCGGCUCAACUGGGAACUUGCCCUUGAUACUGUUGUUCUUGAAUACAAAUGAAGUGGGCGGAAUAUGUUAUGUAGCGGUGAAAUGCUUAAAUAUAACAUAGAACACCAAUUGCGAAGGCAGCUCACUAAGUUGUUAUUGACACUGAGGCACGAAAGCAUGGGGAGCAAACAGGAUUAGAUACCCUGGUAGUCCAUGCUGUAAACGAUGAUUACUGGAUGUUGGCGAUAUACAGCCAGUGUCCAAGCGAAAGUUUUAAGUAAUCCACCUGGGGAGUACGAUCGCAAGAUUGAAACUCAAAGGAAUUGACGGGGGCCCGCACAAGCGGAGGAGCAUGUGGUUCAAUUCGAUGAUACGCGAGGAACCUUACCUAGGCUUAAAUGUAGAAUGACCGGUUGGGAAACCAAUCUUCUCUUAGGAGCAAUCUACAAGGUGCUACAUGGCUGUCGUCAGCUCGUGCUGUGAGGUGUCGGGUUAAGUCCCAUAACGAGCGCAACCCUUAUCUUUAGUUGCCAUCAGGUAAUGCUGGGAACUCUAAAGAAACUGCCUACGCAAGUAGUGAGGAAGGUGAGGAUGACGUCAAGUCAGCACGGCCCUUAUGCCUAGGGCUACACACGUGCUACAAUGGUCAGUACAGA